UUUCUCUCUGGUCCCAGGCAUAGACUUUUUCCUUUCCUCUCUUCAAUUUCCUUUAUUCUUGCCAGCAUCCAAAUUAUAGACCAAAUCCCACGAAAAACAGACCCAGCUCUCCCCCAGCAAAAGUGUGCUGUACGCUAUCAAAUUAAGCAACAAGAAUCAAAACCCAGCUCCACAAGCAUCAGCAAUCACCUCCUUGUCCGCUUUCCCCUCUCACCAAAAGAAAAAAGGGCAAAAGGGGAAAAGGGUUUGAGAGUAAUGGGAAUGGCGAUGCCAUGGAGCUUGAUGGUGUAUUUGAUUAAUAUGGUCUGGAUUAUGCUUGAUGGGUUUAUCUCCUCCACUGUGACGGUGGCCGACGCGAUUGCUGGUUCUCUGAGGGCCGGCGAUAUUGGCCCAUUUCCGAUCGGUUGAUAACUUGAGCUCAUGUUCCCCUUGUUGUGUGUAUAAAAGGGUUUAGUGUGGAACUUAAUGGCGACAAGGACUUAACGGCAAACAAACGAACAAAAGAAACUAUCGACCAAAGAUGUAAUCACGGCGAAAACGCGAGAUUUACGUGGUUCGGCAAUGCACUUCCGUCCAUGUGAGAAGCAGCUUAAAACCCUGGAUCGCAGAAAAGAACCCUUAUGUAUGGCUAUUUUCUUGUUCCCCAAAAAGAGUAAAAAAAACCGAGUCUGAAUAGGACUCUUGACUCUGCAGAAAAUGCCAAUUCAGUUGACUGUUCGUUCGAGGAUUUCACCAUUCUGACUUCUGGCAGUCGGCUGCGUGGAGACUCCCUCCAGGCGAUUGAUCGGUCAGUCCAUUGGUGCACCGACUAUUGCACUGCCCAUGUAAAAUUUGGUCGGCUUUCAAUUCUAGCCACAAGUGCAACGUAAAACGUUGUCUUCUUUGCUUUGUUUCAUGUAUUAGCAAAUAAUUACUGUAACACAUACGGAUAGUACUCUAGAGUGCCUAUAAGUUCUGUAAAGUUUUUUACACAAUAGCUUAAAGCAUUAAUGCUAUCUUUUUACUUAUAAAUGUUUCAUACCAGACCUUUCUUUUUUGGCUAUAUUUCUGAUUUUCAGUCCAUGCUUUGGUGUCAUGUAAUCAUGUUAGUUGUUCAAAUGCGUCAGAGAACCCCCUUUUAAUAUAACCUAAUCGUGAUAAUUUUACAUGCUGAACUCCAGGAAUAUUGGGUUUAUGUCUGAAAAUGGAUUUCAACUGAGAAAUGUAGGAAUAUGUAAAUCAAGUGAAUUUUACAUUUCUCAUUCCUUCCCUGAUCUGUUAUGAUGAUGGCAUCUCACUUUCAUUUGCAUACUCUAUUAAAGAAACUCUCGUGUUUAUGAAGUCUUAACUCCGUUAUCCUUUUUCACCUUUAAUGUUUUGCUGGUAAUACGGUAUUAUUGAAUAUUUGAAUCUCCUAUUAUAU